AUGAGCUACACUAGCCUAGUAGGAAUAUCACACUAAUCACAAAUACGAAAAACUGAAGAUUGGUAAAAAUCAUAAAAAUAACUAAUAGAUCUCUUACUUUAUUUAAAUACAUUUAAACUUGAAGACAUUUGUUUAAUACUUACCAUUCUAAAAAUGACCUAUGAAGAUCCAUAUUCAUACCACUUUUUACUUUCACACAUAAGAGAACAAGAGACAAUAACUUUCCUUUCUUACUUGCUUACUUGUACUCUUGGGGGUCCAUAUGGAUGUCCCUCCUACUCAGUGAACCCAAUAUCCAAUUUUAUAAUUGACC
rnacentral:lncRNA from 1 species